GAUCGUUAAUACCGCAUAACAUAAUUGAACCGCAUGAUUUGAUUAUCAAAGAUUUAUCGCUGAAAGAUGAGCUCGCGUCUGAUUAGCUAGUUGGUAAGGUAACGGCUUACCAAGGCGACGAUCAGUAGCCGGACUGAGAGGUUGAUCGGCCACAUUGGGACUGAGACACGGCCCAGACUCCUACGGGAGGCAGCAGUGGGGAAUAUUGCACAAUGGAGGAAACUCUGAUGCAGCGAUGCCGCGUGAGGGAAGAAGGUUUUAGGAUUGUAAACCUCUGUCUUCAGGGACGAAAAAAGACGGUACCUGAGGAGGAAGCUCCGGCUAACUACGUGCCAGCAGCCGCGGUAAUACGUAGGGAGCGAGCGUUGUCCGGAAUUACUGGGUGUAAAGGGAGCGUAGGCGGGAUCGCAAGUCAGAUGUGAAAACUAUGGGCUUAACCCAUAAACUGCAUUUGAAACUGUGGUUCUUGAGUGAAGUAGAGGUAAGCGGAAUUCCUAGUGUAGUGGUGAAAUGCGUAGAUAUUAGGAGGAACAUCAGUGGCGAAGGCGGCUUACUGGGCUUUAACUGACGCUGAGGCUCGAAAGCGUGGGGAGCAAACAGGAUUAGAUACCCUGGUAGUCCACGCCGUAAACGAUGAUUACUAGGUGUGGGGGGACUGACCCCUUCCGUGCCGCAGCAAACGCAAUAAGUAAUCCACCUGGGGAGUACGACCGCAAGGUUGAAACUCAAAGGAAUUGACGGGGGCCCGCACAAGCAGUGGAGUAUGUGGAUUAAUUCGAAGCAACGCGAAGAACCUUACCAGGUCUUGACAUCGUAUGCAUAGCUCAGAGAUGAGUGAAAUCUCUUCGGAGACAUAUAGACAGGUGGUGCAUGGUUGUCGUCAGCUCGUGUCGUGAGAUGUUGGGUUAAGUCCCGCAACGAGCGCAACCCUUACUGUUAGUUGCUACGCAAGAGCACUCUAGCAGGACUGCCGUUGACAAAACGGAGGAAGGUGGGGAUGACGUCAAAUCAUCAUGCCCCUAUGACCUGGGCCUCACACGUACUACAAUGGCUGUCAACAGAGGGAAGCAAAGCCGCGAGGUGGAGCGAACCCCUAAAAGCAGUCUUAGUUCGGAUUGUAGGCUGCAACCCGCCUACAUGAAGUCGGAAUUGCUAGUAAUCGCAGAUCAGCAUGCUGCGGUGAAUACGUUCCCGGGCCUUGUACACACCGCCCGUCACGCCAUGGGAGUCGGUAACACCCGAAGCCUGUAGUCUAACCGCAAGGAGGACGCAGUCGAAGGUGGGAUUGAUGACUGGGGUGAAGUCGUAACAAGGUA
rnacentral:rRNA from 1 species